UGUAAGUGAUGACAGCUGUUCACCUGACAUUACAGUGAGGGUUGAAACUGAUUUAAUGAGCCUGAUGC